GAACUCUUCAAGCAGAUCUGACAAUGGCUAAAAUCAUUCUCUUCCCGAAAAAGGAUAAUGAUUAUAUGGCACUUGGGAAUUAUAGACCCAUUUCCCUUAUAAAUGUGGACACAAAAAUAGUAGCAAAGGUCUUAGCUGUACGCCUAUCUCCGCUUCUCCCCAUUUUGAUUCACCCAGACCAGGUAGGUUUUAUUCCUGGAAGGCAGCUAUAUGAGACUACUCAUAGAGUUGUAGGUCUUGCAUGGCUUAUGGAGACAGAAAGGCUGCCAUCGAUGCUGCU